GGUACUCAGUUCGGAUUGAAGGCUGAAAUUCGCCUUCAUGAAGCUGGAAUUGCUAGUAAUGGCAGGUCAGCAUACUGCCGUGAAUACGUUCCCGGGCCUUGUACACACCGCCCGUCACACCAUGAGAGUUGGGAAUACCCGAAGCCUGUGAGCUAACUGUAAGGAGGCAGCAGUCGAAGGUAGAAUCAAUGAUUGGGGUGAAGUCGUAACAAGGUAUC
rnacentral:rRNA from 1 species